GACAGAGGUGCCGAGCGUUAGGCGGAAUCACUGGGCUUAAAGCGUGUGUAGGCGGGCGGGCAAGUACCUUGUGAAAUCCCACGGCUCAACCGUGGAACUGCUGGGUAUACUGCCUGUCUUGAGCCAACUAGGGGCGAGCGGAACAGACGGUGGAGCGGUGAAAUGCGUAGAUAUCGUCUGGAACGCCAAAGGUGAAAACAGCUCGCUGGGGAUGUGCUGACGCUGAGACACGAAAGCCAGGGGAGCAAACGGG
rnacentral:rRNA from 1 species